ACAAGCGGUGGAGCAUGUGGUUAAUUCGAAGCAACGCGAAGACCUUACCAGGUCUUGACAUCCCGAUGCUAUUUCUAGAGAUAGAAAGUUACUUCGGUACAUCGGUGACAGGUGGUGCAUGGUUGUCGUCAGCUCGUGUCGUGAGAUGUUGGGUUAAGUCCCGCAACGAGCGCAACCCCUAUUGUUAGUUGCCAUCAUUCAGUUGGGCACUCUAGCGAGACUGCCGGUAAUAAACCGGAGGAAGGUGGGGAUGACGUCAAAUCAUCAUGCCCCUUAUGACCUGGGCUACACACGUGCUACAAUGGUUGGUACAACGAGUUGCGAGUCGGUGACGGCGAGCUAAUCUCUUAAAGCUAAUCUCAGUUCGGAUUGUAGGCUGCAACUCGCCUACAUGAAGUCGGAAUCGCUAGUAAUCGCGGAUCAGCACGCCGCGGUGAAUACGUUCCCGGGCCUU
rnacentral:rRNA from 1 species